AAAGCAGGCCCGUUCUAUCGCCGCGGCAAUAGCCGGGGAGGAAAGUCCGGACAACAUAGAGCGCCUCGCUUCCUAACGGGAAGGGUCCUGAUGCAGAUCGGGGUACGGAAAGUGCCACAGAAAACAAACCGCUCCGAUUCGUCGGAGCAAGGGUGAAAACGUGGGGUAAGAGCCCACGGCUUUGCAUGGUGACAUGCAUCGCGGUAAACCCCGGGGGUUGAAAGGCCAAAUAGGUUGCGGAU
rnacentral:RNase_P_RNA from 1 species